rnacentral:tRNA from 1 species
GAGGGUAUAGCUCAAGAGGUAGAGCACAUAUUUAGCAUGCGCAAGGUCCUGGGUUCAAUUCCCCAGUACCUCCU